rnacentral:rRNA from 1 species
AUUGAACGCUAGCGGCAUGCCUUACACAUGCAAGUCGAACGAGUGGCGGACGGGUGAGUAAUAUCUCGGAACGUGCCCAGUAGCGGGGGAUAACUACUCGAAAGAGUGGCUAAUACCGCAUACUAUUGGAUCGGCCCAUAUCGGAUUAGCUAGUUGGUGGGGUAACGGCUCACCAAGGCAACGAUCCGUAGCUGGUUUGAGAGGACGACCAGCCACAAUGGAACUGAGAAACGGCCCAGACUCCUACGGGAGGCAGCAGUGGUGAAUUUGGGACAAUGGGGGAAACCCUGCUCCAGCCAUCCCGCGUGUAUGAGAAGGCCUUCGGGUUGUAAAGUACUUUAAGCGGAGUAGCGGUAUCUGCAGAAUAAGCACCGGCUAACUACGUGCCAGCCGCCGCGGUAAUUC